CGGUUAAGUUAGAAAGGGCGCACGGUGGAUGCCUUGGCACUAGGAGCCGAUGAAGGACGGGACGAACACCGAUAUGCUUCGGGGAGCUGUAAGCAAGCUUUGAUCCGGAGAUUUCCGAAUGGGGAAACCCACCACUCGUAAUGGAGUGGUAUCCAUAUCUGAAUACAUAGGAUAUGAGAAGGCAGACCCGGGGAACUGAAACAUCUAAGUACCCGGAGGAAGAGAAAGCAAAUGCGAUUCCCUGAGUAGCGGCGAGCGAAACGGGACCAGCCCAAACCAAGAGGCUUGCCUCUUGGGGUUGUAGGACACUCUGUACGGAGUUACAAAGGAACGAGGUAGAUGAAGAGGUCUGGAAAGGCCCGCCAUAGAAGGUAACAGCCCUGUAGUCAAAACUUCGUUCUCUCCUGAGUGGAUCCUGAGUACGGCGGAACACGUGAAAUUCCGUCGGAAUCCGGGAGGACCAUCUCCCAAGGCUAAAUACUCCCUAGUGACCGAUAGUGAACCAGUACCGUGAGGGAAAGGUGAAAAGCACCCCGGAAGGGGAGUGAAAGAGAUCCUGAAACCGUGUGCCUACAAGUAGUCAGAGCCCGUUAAUGGGUGAUGGCGUGCCUUUUGUAGAAUGAACCGGCGAGUUACGAUCCCGUGCAAGGUUAAGCAGAAGAUGCGGAGCCGCAGCGAAAGCGAGUCUGAAUAGGGCGAAUUGAGUACGUGGUCGUAGACCCGAAACCAGGUGAUCUACCCAUGUCCAGGGUGAAGUUCAGGUAACACUGAAUGGAGGCCCGAACCCACGCACGUUGAAAAGUGCGGGGAUGAGGUGUGGGUAGGGGUGAAAUGCCAAUCGAACCUGGAGAUAGCUGGUUCUCUCCGAAAUAGCUUUAGGGCUAGCCUCAAGGUAAGAGUCUCGGAGGUAGAGCACUGAUUGGACUAGGGGCCCCUACCGGGUUACCGAAUUCAGUCAAACUCCGAAUGCCGAUGACUUAUCCUUGGGAGUCAGACUGCGAGUGAUAAGAUCCGUAGUCGAAAGGGAAACAGCCCAGACCGCCAGCUAAGGUCCCAAAGUAUACGUUAAGUGGAAAAGGAUGUGGAGUUGCUUAGACAACCAGGAUGUUGGCUUAGAAGCAGCCACCAUUUAAAGAGUGCGUAAUAGCUCACUGGUCGAGUGACUCUGCGCCGAAAAUGUACCGGGGCUAAACGUAUCACCGAAGCUGCGGACUGUUCUUCGAACAGUGGUAGGAGAGCGUUCUAAGGGCUGUGAAGCAAGACCGGAAGGACUUGUGGAGCGCUUAGAAGUGAGAAUGCCGGUAUGAGUAGCGAAAGAGGGGUGAGAAUCCCCUCCACCGAAUGCCUAAGGUUUCCUGAGGAAGGCUCGUCCGCUCAGGGUUAGUCGGGACCUAAGCCGAGGCCGAAAGGCGUAGGCGAUGGAUAACAGGUUGAUAUUCCUGUACCACCUCCUCACCAUUUGAGCAAUGGGGGGACGCAGGAGGAUAGGGUAAGCGCGGUAUUGGAUAUCCGCGUCCAAGCAGUUAGGCUGGGAAAUAGGCAAAUCCGUUUCCCGUGAAGGCUGAGCUGUGAUGGCGAGCGAAUUAUAGUAGCGAAGUUCCUGAUUCCACACUGCCAAGAAAAGCCUCUAGCGAGGUGAGAGGUGCCCGUACCGCAAACCGACACAGGUAGGCGAGGAGAGAAUCCUAAGGUGAUCGAGAGAACUCUCGUUAAGGAACUCGGCAAAAUGACCCCGUAACUUCGGGAGAAGGGGUGCUCUGUUAGGGUGCAAGCCCGAGAGAGCCGCAGUGAAUAGGCCCAGGCGACUGUUUAGCAAAAACACAGGUCUCUGCGAAGCCGUAAGGCGAAGUAUAGGGGCUGACGCCUGCCCGGUGCUGGAAGGUUAAGAGGAGCGCUUAGCGUAAGCGAAGGUGCGAAUUGAAGCCCCAGUAAACGGCGGCCGUAACUAUAACGGUCCUAAGGUAGCGAAAUUCCUUGUCGGGUAAGUUCCGACCCGCACGAAAGGCGCAACGAUCUGGGCACUGUCUCAACGAGAGACUCGGUGAAAUUAUAGUACCUGUGAAGAUGCAGGUUACCCGCGACAGGACGGAAAGACCCCGUGGAGCUUUACUGCAGCCUGAUAUUGAAUGUUGGUACAGCUUGUACAGGAUAGGUAGGAGCCUUGGAAACCGGAGCGCCAGCUUCGGUGGAGGCAUCGGUGGGAUACUACCCUGGCUGUAUUGACCUUCUAACCCGCCGCCCUUAUCGGGCAGGGAGACAGUGUCAGGUGGGCAGUUUGACUGGGGCGGUCGCCUCCUAAAAGGUAACGGAGGCGCCCAAAGGUUCCCUCAGAAUGGUUGGAAAUCAUUCGCAGAGUGUAAAGGCACAAGGGAGCUUGACUGCGAGACCUACAAGUCGAGCAGGGACGAAAGUCGGGCUUAGUGAUCCGGUGGUUCCGCAUGGAAGGGCCAUCGCUCAACGGAUAAAAGCUACCCCGGGGAUAACAGGCUUAUCUCCCCCAAGAGUCCACAUCGACGGGGAGGUUUGGCACCUCGAUGUCGGCUCAUCGCAUCCUGGGGCUGUAGUCGGUCCCAAGGGUUGGGCUGUUCGCCCAUUAAAGCGGUACGCGAGCUGGGUUCAGAACGUCGUGAGACAGUUCGGUCCCUAUCCGUCGCGGGCGCAGGAAAUUUGAGAGGAGCUGUCCUUAGUACGAGAGGACCGGGAUGGACGCACCGCUGGUGUACCAGUUGUUCUGCCAAGGGCAUCGCUGGGUAGCUAUGUGCGGACGGGAUAAGUGCUGAAAGCAUCUAAGCAUGAAGCCCCCCUCAAGAUGAGAUUUCCCAUUCCGCAAGGAAGUAAGAUCCCUGAAAGAUGAUCAGGUUGAUAGGUCUGAGGUGGAAGUGUGGCGACACAUGGAGCUGACAGAUACUAAUCGAUCGAGGACUUAACCAAUUU
rnacentral:rRNA from 5 species